ACCCAUCACUGCCGCAAUGUUGCCGCAACAUAAUGCUAAUUACCGCAACAGAACCGUGUUUCCACCGGAACAACUGAAACACAUGAUUCUUAUACAUAAUUCAAUUUUGAUUUAAAAACAAAAGUAAAGAAUAAGAAUCUUUUAUGCAGGAAAUGAAUCUAAAAAGCAGAAAUAUUAGCUUUAUGUCCAAUUUUCUUCUGCAUCAAGAUUCCAAAUACAAAAACUAAUUACUUUAUGUCAUUCUAUCUCCUCCAUUAAGAUUCCAAAUACAAUAAAAAAAAUUAUUUAUACCGUCUUUGCUUCAAUAAUUUACAUUCACUAAUUCAUACCUUCAAGACUUCAUGUUCAUCUUCUUCUCUCUUGGAUGCAUAUUGUGAAGCAGAACUGAAAAAACUCACAUUUUCUUCUCUAAUUUAAUCCAUUUUAAGGUAUGAACUUUGAAAUCUACUUCACUCUCUCACUUCACUCAUAAUCUUUGCAGUAGCUUGUUAUUAUAGUAGAUUUGUGGUAGAUUUCCUUUUAGUAUAUUCUUCAUCCAAUUUCAUCCAUUGUAGUAGAUAUGUGGUUACUGAUUUUUUUCAUUUAUGUUACAAGAGUGUAAGACUGUGAGAGAGAAAUAGAAAAAAAUUACUUUAUCAUUGUUGUAUUGUGUGGGACACAGCAAAGUAUUGGUGGAGUGAGAGAGUGAAGUAGUAAACUUUAUCAUUAUGUUAUUUAUU
rnacentral:lncRNA from 1 species